rnacentral:rRNA from 1 species
ACGGAGGUGGCGAGCGUUGUUCGGAAUUACUGGGCGUAAAGGGUGUGUAGGCGGCUGGUCGUGUUCGUUGUGAAAUCCCCCGGGUCAUCUGGGGAACUGCAUCGAAAACUGGCCGGCUGGAGUGCAGGAGAGGAGAUUGGAAUUUCUGGUGUAGCGGUGAAAUGCGUAGAUAUCAGAAGGAACGCCGGUGGCGAAAGCGGAUCUCUGGCCUGUAACUGACGCUGAGGCACGAAAGCCAAGGGAGCAAACGG